rnacentral:sRNA from 1 species
AAUUUUCGAAAAAAAAAAUUUUUUUUUUGAAAAUUUUUGAAAUUUUUUUUUUU